CCUACGGGAGGCAGCAGUGAGGAAUAUUGGUCAAUGGACGGAAGUCUGAACCAGCCAAGUCGCGUGAAGGAUGACGGUGCUAUGCAUUGUAAACUUCUUUUGUGAAGGGAUAAACUGAGGCACGUGUGGCUUAUUGCAGGUACCUGAUGAAUAAGCAUCGGCUAACUCCGUGCCAGCAGCCGCGGUAAUACGGAGGGUCCGGGCGUUAUCCGGAUUUAUUGGGUUUAAAGGGUGCGGAGGCCGACUGUUAAGUAAGUGGUGAAAGUCCGGGGCUCAACCCUGGCAGAGCCGUGGAAACUGGCGGGCUUGAGAUGUCCGGAGGUAGGCGGAAUGCGCAGUGUAGCGGUGAAAUGCUUAGAUAUCACGCAGAACUCCGAUUGCGAAGGCAGCAUACCGUCGGCGAUCUGACGCUGAGGCUCGAAGGCGUGGGUAUCGAACAGGAUUAGAUACCCGUGUAGUC
rnacentral:rRNA from 1 species